rnacentral:sRNA from 1 species
ACAUGAUGAAGAUGUAGACCAACAUGAAGAUGAAAUGUAAACCAAAAUAUUUAUCAAGAGAUGUAUGGAAUAAAAAGUGAACAUCUUGAGAGGGAAAACAAUUCCUAGAGGCAAAGACAUAGACACAUUCGAUACAUUAGAGAUUGUUUCCUUUUCUACCAUCAUUUAGAGCCUUUUUUGUGAGGGAACCUGCGUCUGAAAAGAAAUGAACAUUUCCCUAAUGCUACUUCAAAUUCAGAUCUCCUCCCAACCUCAGGCU